rnacentral:rRNA from 1 species
CAGCAGCCACGGGAAUACAGAGGGUGCGAGCGUUAAUCGGAUUUACUGGGCGUAAAGCGUGCGUAGGCGGCUAAUUGAGUCGGAUGUGAAAUCCCCGAGCUUAACUUGGGAAUUGCAUUCGAUACUGGUUAGCUAGAGUGUGGGAGAGGAUGGUAGAAUUCCAGGUGUAGCGGUGAAAUGCGUAGAGAUCUGGAGGAAUACCGAUGGCGAAGGCAGCCAUCUGGCCUAACACUGACGCUGAGGUACGAAAGCAUGGGGAGCAAACAGGAUUAGAUACCCCUGUAGUCCCUGUCUCUUAUAU